rnacentral:rRNA from 1 species
GACGAACGCUGGCGGCGUGCUUAACACAUGCAAGUCGAACGGAAAGGCCCGGCUUUUGUGGGGUGCUCGAGUGGCGAAGGGGGGAGUAACACGUGAGUAACCUGCCCUUGACUGUGGGGUAACUUCAGGAAACUGGGGCGAAUACCGGAUAGGAGCUCCUGCUGCAUGGGGGGGGUUGGAAAGUUUCGGCGUUGGGGGAUGUACUCGCGGCUUAUGAGCUUGUUGGUGGGGUAGUGGCGGACCAAGGCUUUGACGGGUAGCCGGCCUGAGAGGGUGACCGGCCACCUGGCGCCUGCGGUACGGCCCAGACUCGUACCGGCCGCAACAGUGGGGAAUCUUACACAAUGGGCGGAAGCCUGUUGCGACAACGCCGCGUGCGGGAUGACGGCUUUCGGGUUGUAAACCACUUUCGCCUGUGCCGAGGCGUGCGUGACGGUACUGGGUCAAGAAGCCCCGGCUAACUACGUG